UUUCCCCGCCUCCUCCUCGGCCCUGUUUCCGGGGCCGCCUUUUAUCUCAGCCAGGCGGCGUCUCCCGCUGGCGUCGCCCGGCCCCAGCUGGAUAUAAGCGCGGCUCACAAACCGUGCUGGCGGUCUCCCCGUGCGCGUGUCCCUACUCGCUCCGGCCUCUGUGUGGGGAAAAUGGCUCCCGGCCCCCCAGUGGACUGAGGAGAGUUCAAUGCAGCCUGUAGACUUAGAAUCCUGUGCCCCACAGGGUAUCCAAGGUGGAAUUCGGUGCACGGUAGUCCGUCUCUGCCCUCUCACCUUCUGGGUCCAGAACCUUCAACCAAUCAAAGAAUGGGUCUAUCUUACCAACCAGACCUACGCGUGUUGGGCCCUACCUCCCAAUAUCACGGCAUACCUGUCAGGUUCCCAAUUACACAACUGUUCCGGAUGUGUGCCAGUAAAUUCAUCAACCUGGUGGGCCACACAACAGUCAGGAAAGGACUCCUGUGAUGCCUCACACUACCAUGCUCCAAUAAUCCUCAACUCUACUGAGGAAUGGCUAAAUUUCACAGCCCUCCGCAGAUGGCAAAGCAUUAUGAGCAACUGGUAUGAAGAGAGACCCCUGCUGUCUGGGAAAUCAGUAGCCCAAUUGUUAGAACAUACUGACCAAACAGAUAAAGAGCUCCUUAGGGUAUAUUGGCAAGGGGACACCAUAAUGCAAAUAGGAUCACAAAUUGUUCAAGUGAGAGUGUGUGAAAGAGGCUGGUAUGAGUGGUUCACUCUGGGAGGGAUAUUAAAUUGGCUGGCGUAACCUGAAACCUGGGUUUUUCUUAUAGCCAUUAUUAUAUGCAUAUAUACAGGCUAAUGGCAUAUGUUUAAGGGGUUGAUAUGUAUAAGGGGUUGAUUGUUUAAAAAGGUACAAAAUUUUCAGGUGGCCUAUGCACAUCUAGCCACAGUUGAGGAUGACCAACUCAACAAAAACGAAGUCAAAGUCAUCGCCCUGUAGAAAAUGCUAAGUCGGGGAGUGGAAUGUGGGGGAAUUCCCAGUGGGGUUUGGGGAAUUUCCAUGGGAAUUUCCAUAGCUCAGUCUUUCAGGUAAACGACUAUGCAUUUUCUCCUAAGCGAUGAUGUGCGCUUUCUGAGGCUUGUAUCCAUAAGGGACGGCAUCUUCCAAAUAAGGGCAUGCUUCAAAACCUAAGAUUGUGAGUGGCUCAGCCAACAGUAUAAAGUCUCAGCGCGCCCAAACAGCGGUGGAGACAUUCGAGAUCGACACUGGGACCAUCACCUUUGACUCGAUCAGUCAGAGGCUGAGGUCACGACGAGGAUCGCACUGGACCAUGCCUCACUGGCCAGAGUCAGCUCACAAACUCGGGGAUGCCUGACUUGUGCGAGGCUAACAAAGCCUAAUUGGACAGAAAGCGUGUACGCUUGGCAUCUGGCUCUGACCAAUAAGUGCCAUUGAUAUAUGUUUAUGUUUGUGGUGUUAUUGUAUGUUAUAGUUACAUUUUGUGUUUUAUUGUUUUUUGUAACCAUCCCUUUGUUGUUAAACACGGUUGUUUAAAUAAAUCUUCUCCAUGAUCUAA